rnacentral:rRNA from 1 species
ACAAAGGCAGCAAGUUCGCAGGACAAGCAAAUCCCAUAAACCGUGGCUCAGUUCAGAUCGUAGGCUGCAACUCGCCUACGUGAAGUAGGAAUCGCUAGUAAUCGCAGGUCAGCAUACUGCGGUGAAUACGUUCCCGGGCCUUGUACACACCGCCCGUCACACCAUGGAAGUUGGCCACGCCCGAAGCCGUUACUCCAACCCUUGUGGAGGAGGACGUCGAAGGUGGGGCUGAUGACUGGGGUGAAGUCGUAACAAGGUAGCCGUACCGGAAGGUGCGGCUGGAUCACCUCCUAA